GGGCCGGUAGCUCAGGUGGUCAGAGCAGGGGACUCAUAAUCCCUUGGUCGUUGGUUCGAAUCCAACCCGGCCCACCG
rnacentral:tRNA from 1 species